GAACUUUUCAUCUUGAACUUCUUCUUUUUCUUCCUCGGCAAGCCCUCUUCGGAGAAAGUUCAGAUCUGAUUGUAGUAUUGAUUGUAUCUUCUGUCUUCUGGAGUCAGAAAUCCUCCUCACGGGUUCGUGUCGGUCAUGUGACACACUUCUGGUCAUGUGCCUUCAAACCAGGAAGUGGAUGUUCCUGCCUGCUUGCGCUCACCUGUUGAACUCCAGGCUCCGUCUGCAGACAUCAACUGAAGAUGUUUCGACCUUCACACAUCGGACCAAAAAGUUACGAGACAGGAGAGCCGAGCCGGAGGAGGAAGAGGAGCGUGAGAGCACAAGAACGGACGUCCAGACUUAUUCUGAAGGGACUUUUAAAGGAAACGGCUUCGACAUUGAAAAGAACAACUGAGGAGUGAUGGAUGGACAGAGGAUGCCGACACCUCAGACGGGACUUCCCUGAACAAAAUAUUACAUGAAUCGACUCGACAAAUCCUGGAACUGUCUACGUUUUGUUUUUUUUCUUUGUUUUUUCAGAGACUAUGGAGGCAAACUUCCAGAUAAUUUCAUCGUGGCUCAUUUCUUUUGAUAUUGAUUGCAAAAUUAGUUUCAGCUCUCAGUUGUCAUCCGUGCUUUCUUUGGAAGUUUGUCAUCCACAGACUGCAACUGGAUGCGCAGAUGUGUGUUGCCCGUCAGAGCUGUAGAUGGUUUUAAAAUGAAACAGCAAACAAGGAGCAGUUCACACAUGUCUGACAGGCCAUCAUACAGGGAAACCCCACAUAAGGGUAAUGAAGAAACUCACACACCUCAUUCAUCUGAAAUGCCAGGUAACCUUCCAGGAAAUACUGGCACCUGUACGAGGAAACACCUGUGGGCCAAGUCAUAUGCAGAC
rnacentral:lncRNA from 1 species